rnacentral:rRNA from 1 species
AGAGUUUGAUCAUGGCUCAGAUUGAACGCUGGCGGCAUGCCUUACACAUGCAAGUCGAACGGUAACAGGUCUUCGGAUGCUGACGAGUGGCGAACGGGUGAGUAAUACAUCGGAACGUGCCCGAUCGUGGGGGAUAACGAGGCGAAAGCUUUGCUAAUACCGCAUACGAUCUACGGAUGAAAGCGGGGGAUCUUCGGACCUCGCGCGGACGGAGCGGCCGAUGGCAGAUUAGGUAGUUGGUGGGAUAAAAGCUUACCAAGCCGACGAUCUGUAGCUGGUCUGAGAGGAUGAUCAGCCACACUGGGACUGAGACACGGCCCAGACUCCUACGGGAGGCAGCAGUGGGGAAUUUUGGACAAUGGGCGAAAGCCUGAUCCAGCCAUGCCGCGUGCAGGAUGAAGGCCUUCGGGUUGUAAACUGCUUUUGUACGGAACGAAAAGCCUCUUUCUAAUAAAGAGGGGUCAUGACGGUACCGUAAGAAUAAGCACCGGCUAACUACGUGCCAGCAGCCGCGGUAAUACGUAGGGUGCAAGCGUUAAUCGGAAUUACUGGGCGUAAAGCGUGCGCAGGCGGUUUUGUAAGACAGAGGUGAAAUCCCCGGGCUCAACCUGGGAACUGCCUUUGUGACUGCAAGGCUGGAGUGCGGCAGAGGGGGAUGGAAUUCCGCGUGUAGCAGUGAAAUGCGUAGAUAUGCGGAGGAACACCGAUGGCGAAGGCAAUCCCCUGGGCCUGCAUUGACGCUCAUGCACGAAAGCGUGGGGAGCAAACAGGAUUAGAUACCCCGGUAGU